rnacentral:rRNA from 1 species
UCGAAGGUGAUAACCAUCUUUCGGCGCCGCACUGUACUAAACUAACUAAAGUGGGGGAUAGUGAGGGGAUAAAUUUCCUUAAGGAACUCGGCAAAAUCCCAAUGGCCCACCAGGGCAUAUAUUGGAACACGGGCCUCGACUGUUUACCAAAAACAUAGCCCUCGGCCAAUAUGAAAAUAGAAGUAUGGAGGGUGAGGCCUGCCCAAUGGUUGUAUCUAAAAGCGGUUGAUAAAAGUCGACCGUGUAAGGACAAUUGAAUGGCCGCGGUAACACUGACCGUGAUAAUGUAGCGUAAUCAAUAGCCAAUUAAUUGUUGGCCAGUAUGAAUGGCGCCACGAAGGCCCCACUGUCUUAAGGAAAUUCCCAGUGAAAUUGAAUUCGUAGUGAAGAUGCUACGUCCAAUUUGUUAGACGAAAAGACCCCGUUGAGCUUUACUGGGGCACUUACACGGCCCCGGCCUUCAAAACUGGGUUGAUAAGCCAAGGCUUACCAUACCUAGGGACCGGCCGAAUUUAAAUGGGCGGCUUAGACUAUGUGGCAGCCCCCCCCGUCGGGGCAGAUGAAACCCCACUCCCCCAUGUCAAAGGGGCUAACCCCCCCCCUUGGGGGGGACAGUGUAAGUAGGACAGUUUGGUUGGGGCGACCGCCUUUUAGAGAGUAACGAAGGUGCGCUUAAGGUGCGUAAUUAAUGACUGAAGCCUGACUGCGAGGGGGACACCCCGAGCAGACACCCCCAAGCCCGCCCUCGCCUUCGUACCAACGGAGGGAGGGCGGCGGUGGGGUGGGCCAUAGUGACCCGUUAAUUUAGAGUGGAAUAGUUAACGAUCAACGAAUAAAAGUUACCACGGGGAUAACAGCGUAAUAUCGUUAGAGAGUUCACAUCGACGACGAUGUUUGCGACCUCGA